GUGCCGUGAUGAUGCCUUAAGAUUGUGGUUUCGACUCAACUGAGAGUAAAAUGAAGACCUACAAUUCCUUGGCUGUGUCUGAGCAC